AAGUGUGGGAAGGGUAGACGAAAGCAACCAGGACAGGGCAGUAUCCCGGGGCUGUUAUCCCUAGGCCUGAAGGGACACAGGGAGGUAUUGUUAACAAAACCCAGAAAGAGUAAUUCAAAAACCUUUCCUGGAGAGGGUCACUUUGAGAGGAGCUGUGAUCUCGGAGGGAAAGGGGCAACCUGCUUUAAGUGACCCAGCAGGGAGUAAAUACGCCCACUUCCCUCUCCUUUCUUCUUGUUGGGGCCCAUCAGCUAAGCACUGACUAGUCCUGAGUCAGACAGCGGAGUGGAGAGGGUGGGGAGGAACCGGAGGGAGGAACAGAAGAGAAAAACCCUCUUCUCUGGAUACAGUACCCUGCUAUCUUGAUGGGCCACUUGGAAGGCAGUGACGACAGGAUGGAUCUUCUAGCCUUGAUGUCUUCCACAAUGGUGCCAGAGAGGCGUCUGGGUGACUCAGUCAAUUAAUCAUCUGCCUUCAGCUCACGUCAUGAUCUCAGGGUCCUGGGAUCAAACCCCGCCCCGCUUCCAGGCUCCCUGCUCAGCGGGGAGUCUGCUUCUCCCUCUCCCUCUGCCCCUCCCCCCGCUUGUGCUCUCUGUCUCUUUCAAAUAAAUAAAUAAAAUAUUUUUUAAAAAUGGUGCUAGGGGCGCCUGGGUGGCUCAGUCGUUAAGCGUCUGCCUUCGGGAGGCGCCUGGGUGGCUCAGUUGGUUAAGCGACUGCCUUCGGCUCAGGUCAUGAUCCUGGAGUCUCGGGAUCGAGUCCCGCAUCGGGCUCACUGCUCGGCAGGGAGUCUGCUUCUCCCUCUGACCCUCCCCCCUCUCAUGCUCUCUCUCUCUAUCUUAUUCUCUCUCUCAAAUAAAUAAAUAAAAUCUUAAAAAAAAAAAAAGCGUCAUGAUCUCAGUGU